GGCCCUUUAGCUCAGUUGGUCAGGGCGAGGGACUCAUAAUCGCCGGUCACUGGUCCAAGUCCAGUAAGGGCCACCA
rnacentral:tRNA from 1 species